CGAUCCUGGAAGUGGCGGCGCUCAGCUUUGCAUAGCAAUACAUAGCUUUGCGUAACAGUGCAGGCAGGCUUUUAAAGGCGCCGCCGACGCCAGAGACCUUGUAGUUCGCCGCGAGUGGACCAACCGUUUGCGAUGAGACCCUUGAUGCAGGCUCCGUUCCUGAUCGCCCUCGGCUUGCUUCUCGCCGGCCCUGCGGCUCCUGUAAGCAUCCUCCCAGACCGGCUCGGUAGCUUUUCCUGGGAUAACUGUGACGAGGGGAAGGACCCUGCCGUGAUCAAAAGCCUGACUGUGGAACCUGACCCCAUUGCCAUUCCUGGGAACGUGACUAUCAGUGCUGAGGUGAAGACCACUGUCGCCCUUAAUCCUCCUCAGAAGGUGGAAAUAACUCUGGAGAAGGAAGUGGCUGGCGUGUGGAUCAAAAUUCCAUGUGUGGAACAAAUUGGUAGCUGUACCUUUGACAAUGCCUGUGAUAUACUUGACACUUUGAUUCCCCCUGGGCAGCCCUGCCCAGAGCCCCUGCACACCUACGGGCUUCCCUGCCACUGUCCCUUCAAAGAAUGCUCCAGGCCCCUUGGUGCUUUGCUAAACUUUUGUGAAAAGAAACUGCUUCUGGAUCAAGAUGUCUCUGGGCUCUGGGACCUAAGAGCCAUUCUUGGAAAUGCAAAUGCUUCUCAUCAGAAAAAAAGCUUUAGCCAUUUGAGCAGACAGUUUUACUCUGAUGCUUUUGCAAGUAUAUUUCAUCUUCAGAGAGAUUCAUGGAAAGGACUCUGACACUCUAGAAUACAGGUUCUUGAUAAACUUUCAGAUCAUAAAACUGAACUGGGUAAGAAAUUACAGAACUAUAACGAAGAAAUUGAUGGCUUCAUAAAACUGCUAAUGAAAGAUCAAGAUCAAGAGUUGAUUACAUGGGACUGAAUGAACUGAUAAGGAUGAUUAUAAUUUUUAUGACUUUUCUGUUUGAAAUAUUGCUGAUUUUUUUAAUGUUUUGUUUUUCCAGAUUUAAGGAUGACUGAUAGCAAUUUGGUAAAUUAUACCUUUGUAACAGAGUUGAAAUAUUCAUCUCUUUUUUCCUACCUGAUCCCUCCAGAAUUUGGAAACUCUUAAUGAAAUCCUUGAGAACUGAAACCACUCUUUUUCCUGAAGCUCUGCAAACUGAAGCCAGAUAACUUGAUACAAACUUAAGAGAGAUCACCACAGCAGCCCAUGUUUAGACAAUCUUCAUGCCUGUUGCUGUGUAAGGCAUUCAAAAAUGUACCUGAACACCUGAUGACAUCAUCAGAGACAUUUCAAACUACAAAAGAUGCUUCAACUCUGACAUCUAGAAAUCUUCUUGACUGGCUGUCCCCUGGGCUCAGAAACUGGUUUAUAAUUUGCUCUAGCCAUUAGCUUUGUUUUUCUUUUGUUUCCAUAGAAAUGCUUCCCAUUAAAUACCUGAUUGCUUGCUUACAAAAUAUACACCUAACUUUGGGAGCCCAUCUGAAUCACUGCCUCCUAAAAUGAAUUUAACUGAACCAACCUAUCAUCAGGACUAAGAGACUGGCUCAAUGUGAUGAAAUAAUCUAUGCCCCUAAUCAGCGGGAAGUACCUAGAAGGUCAUUGCCCUAUUUCCUCAAGAUUGAGGAAUGGGGACUGGCCCAGUGGCUUAGCGGUUAAGUUCACAUCCUCCACUUUGGUGGCCCAGGUUUUGCAGGUUUGGAUCCUGCGCUCAGACUGACGCACCGCUUGUCAAGCCAUGCUGUGGCGGUGUCCCGUAUAAAGUAGAGGAAGACGGGCAUGGAUGUUAGCUCAGGGCUAAUCUUCCUCACAAAAGAAAAAAAUAAGAUUGAGGACUGUACAAAGAGGGGAAUUGAAACAGCACAUAAAACAUUGACCAACAGAAGCUAAUUUUGCUUCCUUAAAACAGGUAGUUGAUUAAUCAAACCUUGCUCAGUAACAGAGACAGCACUGCACAUGUGCUAGGCAGAAACCUAUUGCCCCAGGAUGACCCUGCAACCAAGAAUCUUCAGAAAUGUUGCCACCUGAGCCCUUUACGAAGCAAGAAGUCCUUCAAUAAGGAAAAUCUGGCUUCCAGCAGCCCAAGUAGCUUGAUUACCAUACAUGGACUGAUUUCGAGACUAGUCAAUCAGCUUACAUGGGCACAGCUGUAGCUUAGUAGCCCCUAACUCCUUAAAUUUUGCCCCGAAUCCUGGAUUGGGGAGACAGAUUUGAGAGCCUUGCCUCCUAUCUCCUUGCCAGUUGACCUUGCAAUAAAGCCUUUUCUUCUCUCAAAAACCGGUGCCAUAAUUUUGGCUUUUUAUGCGCAUUGGGCAACAGGCCUUCUUGCUCGGUAGCAAACUCAAAUUGAGAGACAUUACAAAAUAACUGGCCAGUACUCUUCAAAAGUACCAGGAUCAUCAACAGUAAGACAAGACUGAGGAACAGUCACGGAUUGGAAGAGAAUAAAAAAUAUGACAACUAAAUGCAUUGUGAGAUGUUGGAUUGAAUGCUGGAUUAGAAAAUAACCAGAAAUAGGAUUUCACCAAUGUUAAUUACUUGGUUUUGAUAAUUGUACUAUGGUCAUGUAAGAUGUCGUUAAAAAGAAACAACAGGCCCAAAAUUGUUCUGCUAAGCCCAAGUCACCAAACCAUGAUUUAAUACCUAACCUAAUUGCAAUUUCACCAUUCCUCAGGAAUGCAGUCUUAACCUGUCGGCCUGGAAUUUCCUGGUCAGCACUAAUGAGGUAAUAUGUCUAAUAGACCCUCUUUGUCCCCCAAAGGAAAGUGAUCUUGCUCAAAAUAAUCCUUUUUUUCAUAUAUGCCUUCCUUGUCCCACCUCCUCUCUGCCUUUAAAAACCUUCCCUUGUCUGUAGCUCUUUGGAGCUCUUUUCUAUUUGCUAGAUGGGAUCCUGCCCAAUUUAUGAAUCAUUGAAUAAAGCCAAUUAGAUCUUUAAAUUUA